UACGUAGGGGGCCAGCGUUGUCCGGAUUCAUUGGGCGUAAAGCGCGUGUAGGCGGCCAGGUAGGUCCGAUGUGAAAUCUGGAGGCUCAACCUCCAGCGGUCAUUGGAAACCAUCUGGCUAGAGUCCGGAAGAGGAGAGUGGAAUUCCUGGUGUAGCGGUGAAAUGCGCAGAUAUCAGGAAGAACACCGAUGGCGAAGGCAGCUCUCUGGGACGGUACUGACGCUGAGACGCGAAAGCGUGGGGAGCAAACAGG
rnacentral:rRNA from 1 species